rnacentral:rRNA from 1 species
CCUACGGGAGGCAGCAGUGAGGAAUAUUGGUCAAUGGACGAGAGUCUGAACCAGCCAAGUAGCGUGAAGGAUGACUGCCCUAUGGGUUGUAAACUUCUUUUAUAAAGGAAUAAAACGAGGCACGUGUGCCUUUUUGCAUGUACUUUAUGAAUAAAGAUCGGCUAACUCCGUGCCAGCAGCCGCGGUAAUACGGAGGAUCCGAGCGUUAUCCGGAUUUAUUGGGUUUAAAGGGAGCGUAGAUGGGUUGUUAAGUCAGUUGUGAAAGUUUGCAGCUCAACCGUAAAAUUGCAAUUGAUACUGGCAGUCGUGAGUACAGUUGAGGUAGGCGGAAUUCGUGGUGUAGCGGUGAAAUGCUUAGAUAUCACGAAGAACCCCGAUUGCGAAGGCAGCUUACUAAACUGUGACUGACAUUGAUGCUCGAAAGUGUGGGUAUCAAACAGGAUUAGAUACCCCAGUAGUC